rnacentral:tRNA from 1 species
AUUUAAGUAGUUUAAGUUAAAACGUUAAUUUGUGGAAUUAAAAAUAUAUUUAUAUAAUAUAUCUUAAAUU